rnacentral:rRNA from 1 species
ACGGAAGGCAGCAGUGGGGGAUAUUGCACAAUGGGGGAAACCCUGAUGCAGCGACGCCGCGUGAGUGAAGAAGUCUUUCGGUAUGUAAAGCUCUAUCAGCAGGAAAGCUAAUGACGGUACCUGACUAAGAAGCACCGGCUAAAUACGUGCCAGCAGCCGCGGUAAUACGUCUGGUGCAAGCGUUAUCCGGAGUUACUGGGUGUAAAGGGAGCGUAGACGGCAUGGCAAGCCAGAUGUGAAAGGCAGGGGCUCAACUCCGGGACUGCAUUUGGAACUGUCAAGCUAGAGUAUCGGAGAGGUAAGUGGAAUUCCUAGUGUAGCGGUGAAAUGCGUAGAUAUUAGGAGGAACACCAGUGGCGAAGGCGGCUUGCUGGACGAUAACUGACGUUGAGGCUCGAAAGCGUGGGGAGCAAACAGGAUUAGAUACCCUGGUA